UACGGAGGGUGCAAGCGUUAUCCGGAUUUACUGGGUUUAAAGGGUGCGCAGGCGGAUAUGUAAGUCAGUGGUGAAAUCUCCGGGCUUAACCCGGAACUGCCGUUGAUACUAUAUAUCUUGAAUGCUGUGGAGGUAAGCAGAAUAUGUCAUGUAGCGGUGAAAUGCUUAGAGAUGACAUAGAAUACCUAUUGCGAAGGCAGCUACUACGCAGAUAUUGACGCUCAUGCACGAAAGCGUGGGGAUCAAACAGG
rnacentral:rRNA from 1 species